rnacentral:snoRNA from 1 species
GCGAAUGAUUAUACAUUUUUAACCCCAAGCUACGGCUUUGACGAUUCAAAACGCAACAACAACACUCUAAUUUUUUAAUGACG